GAUGAACGCUGGCGGCGUGCCUAAUACAUGCAAGUCGAGCGAACAGAUGAGGAGCUUGCUCCUCUGACGUUAGCGGCGGACGGGUGAGUAACACGUGGAUAACCUACCUAUAAGACUGGGAUAACUUCGGGAAACCGGAGCUAAUACCGGAUAAUAUAUUGAACCGCAUGGUUCAAUAGUGAAAGACGGUUUUGCUGUCACUUAUAGAUGGAUCCGCGCCGCAUUAGCUAGUUGGUAAGGUAACGGCUUACCAAGGCAACGAUGCGUAGCCGACCUGAGAGGAUGAUCGGCCACACUGGAACUGAGACACGGUCCAGACUCCUACGGGAGGCAGCAGUAGGGAAUCUUCCACAAUGGGCGAAAGCCUGACGGAGCAACGCCGCGUGAGUGAUGAAGGUCUUCGGAUCGUAAAACUCUGUUAUUGGGGAAGAACAAAUGUGUAAGUAACUAUGCACGUCUUGACGGUACCGAAUCAGAAAGCCACGGCUAACUACGUG
rnacentral:rRNA from 1 species